UUGAACGCUGGCGGCAUGCUUUACACAUGCAAGUCGAACGGCAGCACGGGUGCUUGCACCUGGUGGCGAGUGGCGAACGGGUGAGUGAUGCAUCGGAACGUGCCCAUGAGUGGGGGAUAGCCCGGCGAAAGCCGGAUUAAUACCGCAUACGCCCUUAGGGGGAAAGCGGGGGAUCUUCGGACCUCGCGCUAUUGGAGCGGCCGAUGUCGGAUUAGCUAGUAGGUGAGGUAAAGGCUCACCUAGGCGACGAUCCGUAGCUGGUCUGAGAGGAUGAUCAGCCACACUGGGACUGAGACACGGCCCAGACUCCUACGGGAGGCAGCAGUGGGGAAUUUUGGACAAUGGGCGCAAGCCUGAUCCAGCCAUGCCGCGUGAGUGAAGAAGGCCUUCGGGUUGUAAAGCUCUUUCAGGUGGAAAGAAAUAGCGCUGUUUAAUAGAUGGCGUUGAUGACGGUACCACCAGAAGAAGCACCGGCUAACUACGUG
rnacentral:rRNA from 1 species